GCUUUUCGAAGUUACAGGUACUCAGGAUGCUGUAUUGCGGUCCACGUCUCCAGCCAAUAGUGGAAGAAGGCAACGUUCUAUCUGCUGAUGCUGAAUCAUUGAUGAAGGAAAUCCACUGUUUGGAACAAUUAAAUCUCAUCACCUUGUCCUUACAUGGUUCGCGUGGUGUUGAAAACUUUCUGAAAUUCCCAAAGCUGCAGAAUAUCACUCAAGCUCUGCACAUCGAAGACUGCAACAGUCUACCGCUCAAUUUGUUGCAUCUAGCAAACAUGGAGCAUCUUGAGAAGUUAUUUAUCGAGGAUAGUAAUUUGGAAGACUGGAAUGUCGACUGCGCGGGAGAGGUACAAAAAAUGCGUAAACUUCACUUUGUUUCAAUAUACGAAUGCUCAAAUGUGAAGGACUUAACGUGGCUUGUUUUUGUUCCAAAUCUCAAGUGGCUGCGAAUAUUUGAUUGUGAUGACAUGGAAGAAAUAAUCAGUGUUGAAAAUUUUGAAAAAUUGAGUGAAGUUUCAGAGAUGAUGGGAGAGCUUAACUUGUUCUCGGAACUCGAAUCUCUGAAUCUAGGAUAUGCAAGUAAUUUGAAGCGCAUCUACCGCGAUCCCUUGCCCUUUCCACAGCUGGAGCAAAUUUACAUAUCGAAAUGCCCAAAGUUGAAGAAGCUCCCGCUCAAUUCCAGCAGCGCAAAGGGACGUAAAAUUGUCAUUUACGGGGAGAAAGAAUGGUGGGAAGAGCUACAAUGGGAGGAUCAAGCCACUCAAAGUGCUUUCUCUCCCUGUUUGGCUGUUUCGUGCCUUCAUGAAUAAUAAAGUGCAAUAAGGCGCAAAAGUGUGAAUAAAGUUUCUGCGUGUGCUUAAUGAUUAUCUUGUCUAUCCAUUUCAUUUAAUUUAAAAGCUUUCUACGGUGUUGCGUGUGUGUCACUUGUCAUUCUUCUGCACUGCUGUUUCCUAUUUCCAGUUAAUAAAAUUUUUUUGUUCUUAGAAAUGCUUUGCUGGUAAUAUAUUCUAUUUACUUUCCUCCUAUUUUCAUUACAGCUAAUAAUUGCAUAGUUGUAUAAUUUUUUAAUAUUAUCUUUAUUUUUAAAUAUACUUUUAUUUAUAUUUAUUAUAAAUUAAAUAAAUGUAUGAAUAGAAAUUAAAAUGAAAACUAAGUAUUAAAACAAGAAAUAUAUAUUUUGAUUUGAAUAAAAAUAUAAAUAUUUGUUUGUACUUUUUUAUAUAUAUAUUCAAUAUAAGAAAAUAUUUAUAAAAUAAAAAGUGUAAGAAAAAUAUCUUAUUAUUAAUUCUUAUUCACAUCAAAACAUAUAUUUCUUACUUUAAAUACUUAAUUUUUUAUUCAAAUUAUCAUUCAUAUGAUUUAUUUAAUUUAUAAUACAUAUAAAUAAAAAUAAUAUUGUAAAUUAUGUUGUUAGAAAUUAUUAGUUAUUAUAAAAAUAAUAUGGGACAAAUGGUAAAUCGGAGAUAUUGUUUCCUAUUUUCAGCUAAAAAAUUUAUUUGUUCUAAUAAUUGCUUUGCUAGUAAUAAGGCCUGCAAGUUGCUUAACUGAAUAUGACUUCUUUUUUAAAAAUGUUACUAUCAAUUUCGAUGAUUGAUUAUCUCGAAGUAGUGAAAUUUAUGUAAUGUUGGUAUUAAAAAAAUUUGUGCUACUGAUAAAAAAAGUCCAUUGGAUUCGGCCUAAAUGACGGAUCGUGGCUUGAUUUUCUCAUCCCAAAGGCUCUGUAUCUCACUUUCGAAAGUAGUUUUAGCAUAAUGUAGGUGAAAAAUUAAAAUAUUCUGCGAUCUCUAUAUAGCUUUUCCAACAGAUUUCACCCAUUUGACUGUAGACCAAAGCAUCCAUUGGAUCGAUGCAUUUAUUAAGAAGAGGAUCAUUCGGAGCUACAAUUGGAGGAUCGAGUCACGCAAAGAGUUUUCUCUACUUGUUUCGAUCCUAUGGAGAUAGAGUUUUCAUAGAUUGAUGGUAGGAGCUUUUUUGUCAAUUUAUGUAUCUAAUUGUGUGUAACAUGCUUUCUUGUCUUUCAUAUCAGACAUUGUAAAUUUGUAAUGUUGCCAUUUUCUUUUUCCUAUCAAGAAAGAAAGAGCAUUGCGAGUAGUCUUUCCAAUUUUCACUCCUUUUUGGUAUGUGAAGAAAAAUAAUAAAGCAAAACAAACUAGUGUUGAAGAAAAAGAAAAUGACAAGUUCAAUAGGGCAAAAGUUCACCAUCCCUUUACCAUUUGCUCAAGCAAGUAAGCUUUACGUUUACUUCUUGAGAUUUGAACUAACCAGACAACUUGUAAUGUUACCAUAAAGUUCAAAGAUUAGAAGAGAAAAACUUAUGUCUGUUAGGCACUAUUAUUCAGGCUUAAAUAAUAACAAUAAAAUACUACACCAUGUCUGCUCUCUUUUACUUUUCUUGGUUCUGUUGUAAAAUUCAGUUCUAUUUGAAGGAAAUUAUUAACAUCAAAACUAAAUACUUCGUGAGCAUCUACUGACAACAUACUCCAGAUGACACCAUAACCAUAUCAUAUAAAGCAAGAAAUGUGAAAUAAAUACAAAAUGAAUCAUAGGAGGGAAUUACCACACUCUGCGGUCUCUCCUGCUAAACCCUGCAGUUAGAAUGCCAUUUGUCGUGAGCACCUGAAUCCCCAAAGGACUCCCAGCUUCAAGUGGCUUUGACUUAGCUUGCUUUAGCUCCAUUGCACAUACUCACUCACAUGAAGGAAAUGAACAGAACAAGAAACCUCAUCAUGCCGAAUAUGAUAGAUAUGACAAGGCAUUACACUGUAGGAAGCUCCCGAUUUCUCUACAAAACUCUGCAGGUUCUCCACAAUCAAGGCGUGCUCCAUCUUUAACAGAUCACUUCUACCAUUAAGAGAAGGAAGAGAGUUCCUCUCGUGUGGCAGUAAAUCCUUACUUAACACAGGAUUGAAGCCAACCAAGAACGGAAGGCAAUUUCGUUAGAUUAAGAACCGAAUCACCAUCCAAUAUAGUAGCAUUUGAACCAGAACUCUUGUUAAAUUCUUGAAAUCUCCUGCUUUCAUCAGUCUGUAAGAGAAAUGAAGAUGAGAAUAAUAGCCAGAACCGGAUUAAAUUCAAUCUGGUCUUUUGAAGACUUCUAUAACAACUAAGAGAACCCAGUGUACCGCCUACAGAUACUGUCAGGCUUCUAUCAAAUAUCCCAAACACCAAAAACCAACCCAAUUAAGCUAACAAACCUGCAUGAAUAUCUAAAUUUCAAUGCACGUGAAACAAACUCCGUGUUCAAUCCACCAAAACUAGCAAAUUUCAAACUUUAUCACUCAUCAUUCUCUCUCUGUCAGCUGUAUGAGGCUAUGAGAUCAUGUUAUAAUGUUCAUAUUGAUGCUGAAUGUUUUGCCAGCUUGUCUGAAUUCCAUAAGAGAAUGCAAUGUGCACAUUAUUGUGCCUUGCCCACCAUUAGAUUCUAAACCACAAAAUCAUUGUGUGAAGUAGCUGACGUUUCGCACAUUCUUAUCCCUUAUCAUCAAUAUUCUUCUCCUCAAGCUUAGAUCAUGGAAAUUUGAGUGACAAACAUGAUAACAUGGUAACACCAUCUAAACUUUAGGGGCAUAAAGUAACAUAGAAGCAACAUGGGAUGUUUUAAAAUCUAUUAUAAUUUGCUUAGGCCCCUGAAUAAAAUUAAAACUUGUAAUGAAAUAAAGUAGCAAAAUAAAGAUUGGAGGUCGCAUGCUUGAUAUUUGAUGCUGUCAAAAUUAAUUUGCAGUGCUGAAAUUGCUGCUCCAAUAAAUUUUUCAAUGGGAUUUCUAUAUUUACAACAAAUUUUCAGUAUUGAAACAGGAUUAAAAUCAUAAAGUAUCUUUUAAACAGCAGAGGCAACAAGAUCCUACAGAAAAAGAAGGCAAAAAGUAGUUACAAGCUACAGAAACGCAAAUAUUCUACUGGCCAACUCCCACUAAAUUCGAAGCAAUUCUAAAAUCUCAGCUUGUACUACGACAUCAUUCCUUCUAUGUGGCCCAACUGUACUUCACCCAGAAAUCACAUUUCUUCAUCAGAGAUAAUUUUACUUCUAAUAAGAGAGAAUUUUUUAUAUGCAUGGCUUUACAGUAAUGAAUAAUUUUCCUUAAAUCUUUUCUAACAGACAAGAAAGCACAAAGCACAAAAAUUGAUAUAAACAACUUUUCUCGAAGCUUUUUCAUAAGAAAACCUGAACAUGAUUGCUUCUCUUAGAAGGCCCCCUAGCUUCCUGCAAGAACCUUGUGCCCCCAAAAAAAACAAAGGAUUAUAAUUAGGCAUAAGGCUCCCAAUGUUCUUGCAGGAAUUAUGAUGAAUAUGAGAGUUUCAAAAAAGAAAAAAAAAUAUUACGACAACCUCUAGGCGGAGGAAAUCAGUUUUCUAGGAAUUCGUUAGAUUGGUGAAGUUAUAGAACCGCAGCAAUUUGCUGUAGUUUGGAAUGUUUUUGCCUUUCAUUAUAGCAUUUGAAAAGGCUCAAGGAUAUAGAAGAACCUUGGCUACAAAUUCAGGGAAGAUUUCACUUAUAAUGAGAAAUAAUCACCAUUAUUAUAUACAAUGAGAAAACAGUUAUGGAAGAAAUAGAAAGAAUUACCCGAAACGGAGGAUUUGGAAGACAAUGAGACAAAAGUAUAAAGAAGAAGAAAUUGGAGAUAUAAUGACUGCCUAUUUCUUUGAUGAACCCAUCAAAAACGGCUUGAAAAUUAAAGAAAUUGUAAAAUGCUGUAACGGAGGAAUUGAAACUGUAAAAGAUGCAAGUUAAUUCAUGGGGCUGGCCAUCUUGAUUGAUUGAACACCUAUUAGAUUUUUAAUAUUAAAGAACUCACUUUAAUGAUGUUUAAUUGGUAGUAGCCCUUUAUAGUCUUUAAACCUUUAGCAGUGCAAAGUCACAAGCUUUGUCCAGAAUCUAAGGGCGUAAGUUAUAGGCGAUGGGUGCCAUCACCUGGGCAACGACGUACAUCGCUUGGGCGACAAGCCAAUUUACUAGGCUCAUCGCAAACAGCCUUCGUCGCCUGGGCGAUGGCCAAAUCCAUCCAAUAAACUUUCAGCUCAUGUUUGAUAGUCUAAAAAAAGUAGUUAUGGUGGCCAUCACACAUCACAUUUUACUGACAAGCUGUCUUAAUUUUCAUAGAAAAUUGUUCCUACUGAUUUUCCAAUACUGGCCUAAUACUUGCAGAUUAUUAAACGAUUAUGGAAUGGCGGCGAUUUUAGACCAGUAAUUUUGUCAAUAAUUGCUAAUUCGCAAUCCCUUUACAAAUCUAAUAAUCUACUGCAUACACGCUCUUGAUGACUUGGAUUCUCAAAAAAUAACCAUUUUACGCCGCUGAAGCGCAGAAAAAUCAAUUGUUUUAUCCACUUCCAAAUAAAACUUAUUCUAGUAAAUGCGAUAAAGAAAUGUUUAUUUCAAUUUCCAACCCAGAUCUCAUAAAGAAUUUCUCACUCAAAUAAACAAAUAAAUAUCAUCUGGUAAUGGUAUGACAUUUAUUUUGAAGUAAACACUGGCCCACUAUUUUCUCAAUUUUCCAUUGUUUGAGGACACCAUUUUCUCAAUUGAAGAACAUGUUCUGGCCAAAAUUCACAAUUUUCUCCACGUGAUUUAAAGCACACAGGAUUCACACUUUUCUCCACGUGAUUUAAAAGCACACAGAAUUCUCCUGACCUUAAUUACGGAUCUUAUUAUGUUUAUUGAAAUCCAAUAUUGUAGACUCAUUGUUGUAGCUAGAAAAUCAUAUUAAUAGAGUAAAAUUUAUAAAUAAUCAAAGAAAAGAGUUCACGCUCUUACUUCAUUACUUUUAUAAUCUUAUUAGUAUAUCUACUUACAUGUCUUCAGAAAAUACAGUUUUAAGAGGAUAUUUUUAUUUUUCUUCGUAAUAAUAGAUUUAAUUUUCAUCUUUCUAAUGUUAAGUUGCAUAUUUGGAGUAAAUAAUAUUAAAUUUCAAAUUAGAUCACAGACCCCAUUUUAAUAGAUUCAAUUGGAUUUUGGACAUCUAAUUAAACAACUGGACUAAUAAAUUGCAAAUGAAUGAGAUUUAUAUGUGAUUUUAAAAUAAAAUUUGAACUCAAAUCUAUGUAUUUAAUUAAUCCAACAGGACAAAUUUAUAAUUUUCACCAACUAAAUAAAAUAUGUUAUCAGAAACUUUUGGACCAAGUCGCGCACUUCGUGGGUCUGCUACUACUUAUAGUCCAUUCUCAUUCAACUUUCACAUCUUUUAUAUUAUGUACAAAUUGGAUUAUAUUCUAAAACAGUGUUUCUAAUUGUUUAACGUUUUAUUUCUGGGUAUAUUUAGAGAUUAAAAAAUAUGGGAAACAUAAUUAAUUUUAUCAAAUAAAAAGGAGUAUUGUUCAUUUUUUCAUAAACAAUGUGUUAAAAUACUUUUGGUAUUUAAGAAGUAAAAAUUUUUAUUUUUGUUUCAUAAAAAAGCAUUCAAAAUUAUAUUAAAUAAAAUUAAAGAUUAACAAAACUGACAUCUGAAUUUCGUGCAAAUUAUAAUAAGUUUAUCUCCAGCGUGAGUAACAUUAAAGCUUGGCUAGCAUCAUCAUAUUUUAUCUCCAGCAUCAAAAUUCUGAUAACAUCAACAUCAUAAUUCCAAGGUUGUCAAAACUAAUUAUCAAAUUAAAAUCCUUUGUGAUUUAAGCUCUCUUGGACUUUUAAAAAUGUUAUGCCACCCCUUCUUUAAUAAUAGUAGUAUAUGAUUAUGAUUUAAUUAUUUUAUUUUUUUAAUUUAUCAAACACCAAUCACUUAAAUUAAACUCAAGAAAAAAAUUAGAACAUCAAAGAAUUUUAAUUGCUUCUUAUUAAGUACUAGAAUUAACUUCUCCCAAUGAUAAUUUAUUAAGCAAACCAUAAUGAUCAUCUUACACUAAAGAACCAACCCAUCUUCAAAACACAAGAAUUUAGUACAAAUAAUUAUCCCAAUAAAGUUUAACGAAAAAGAAAAGAGAUAUUUUUAUUAUUUCUUUUACUUUCUUAGUGGCUCUGCUACUACCUAUAGUCCAUUCUUAUUCAACAUACAGAUCUUUUAUAUUAUAUGCAAAUUAAAAUAUAUUCUAAAAAGUGUAUCCAACUGGUUAACAUAUUAUUUCUAUAUAAUAAUCAAUUUUAUCAAAUAAAAAGGAGUUUUGGUCAUUCAUUUGGCUCCGUUGCCACUGUUGUACGCUACAAAAGCUUUUGUCUUUGCUGACUCAGUUACUGUAAAAUGUCGUUCAGCCCCUUAUACUCUAUUUUAUUUAUAAGAAUUAUAAAAAUUUCUAAUUACCUACACUUUCAAAAUUCAAUUUAUCUCCUUACAAUCUUUUUCAUUUACUUUUUUUUGUAAGUAUUAAAAAGUUUCUAUUUACAACCACGACAUAGUAAUCAUCAUAACACACGAAUAUUUAUAAAAAUAUAAAAAUAUCACUAAAUUAAUACUAAAAAAUGUUUUCCUCUCUUGAGGAAUUAUGGUAUCUCAUUUUCGAUCACUCAUUAUCAACAAAAUUUUCAAAGAUAUGAUCAUUCAUCUUCUUUAUAAUAUCAUCUUAUAAUAAUUAAUACUUUCAUGAUUAAAAAAAUUAACAAAAUAAAGAUAAAUUCCCUUUGAAUCCAUCCCUCUCUACUAUCAUUUUCUCUUCAUUAGCAACAUUUAUCAAUAAUUGAAGCCACCAUCAGACUCAUCACACAGAGAGAGUGAGAGAGGGGAAGAAGAAACGGGAAAAAAAAAUAUAUGAGACAUUUACAAUUUUAUAGUGUGUUUAUUCAACGAGAUUCAUAUAUAGUUGCUAAGGGGUUUCAUUAGACACAGAGAGUUUAUUACACUGAAACUUUUAAUCCAGUAGUUAAGGCCUCAACAAUCAGAGUUAUUCUUAGCCUAGCAGUACUUAACAAGUGGAUAAUCAGACAAGUGGAUAUUAAUAAUGCCUUAAUGGCAUUUCAGUUGAAGAAGUUUACAUGGCACAACCUGAGGGAUUUGUGGAUCCUACUAAACCCCAACACAUCUGCAAAUUAAAAAGGACUAUAUAUGGCUUGAAGCAAGCUCUCAGGGCUUGGUUUGAUAGAUUCAAAGCUGCAAUGAUUACUCAAUGACAUUUUCAACACUCAAAAUCAGAUAAAAAAUAUCAAAAUAUUUAUAUCAUUAAACUUUUAGGCCUAAUUAACUAAUUAAAGUUCUAAAUUUUUAUUUAGGACAUUAAAAAGACCGGAUAGAUUCUAUUAGCCCAAAAAUUUUAUUUUAAUUUUAAUAUUCAUUAAAUAUUUUAAACUUAAAUCUAUUUUUUAUUUAUUUUUAGAUGUUAGAAUUGCCCACAGCGAAUCACAAUUUUAAUAUCUAAUCUAAUUUAAUCUAAUAUUUGCUCUUGAUUUGCUCUUACUUAACUAUUGUGUUGUAAAGGGAAUAGUCCACAUUUAUAAAGUGCCCACGCCACCCUUGAAAAAGUUAAUUUUGAAUCUAAAUUUGAUUUUAUUUGUAACAAUUUUGUAUUAGACUAUUAAUUUAUUUAUGAUAGUUUGUAAAAGAAGUUUGUAUCCCUUGCAUGCUGCGUUACUUACUAAUUUAAUGUAUGUGACUUUUGUAAUGGAUAUUAAUGCAAGAUAUUUUUCGAACUUUACUUUUAUUUAAAUUUUAUUUUAAUAUGAUUAACUCAAAUCGAAAAUAAAAAAAUGUAUUAAUUAUUCGGGGAUCGGGGACCCUCGGGGAUCCCCUAUUAUUAUUCGGGGAGGAGAUAGAGAUUCUCUUAAGUAAUUCUGACAGGGACGGGAAGGGGAUGAGGACAUACACAAAAUAUUGGGAAUGGUUACGGGGAGAUUGGUCCCCUCCCCUCCCCUCCCCAUUGCCAUCCCUAACUCCCUGACUAAAUAAUUUGGGAAUAUAAGGAUGCAAUAAGAGUUGAGUGGUCUUUAUUCCCAUAGCAUUAUUUUUUUCUCGCUUCAUCCGUGCUCUAUUCAAUCUUUAUGUGCCGCUUGUGUUAUGUUCCUGCAUAUCUAAUUACCUUUAGCUGCUUGUGUUAUGUUUACUUGUUUUGAUCUUAAUCUUUAAUCACUUAGCCUGAAUAAGAAAUAAUUUUUUAUAUUUGCUCUGCAAUGAUGUUAUUCGGUGUUAAUAGCUUCGUUUUGUUACUCUUUUCCGCACAGAUUCUUGAUCUCAACAGAACUUUUAUUUUGAAUAUUCUGCAUAAGGACAAUCUCAUUUAAUACCAUCAGUGAUUUUUCAUUUUUUUUCUCUUUAGUUUUAAUAUGUUUGAUAACUGUAUGGCUAAGCAAUCUAUGCAAUUUUAUCUUGUCGUAUGUUUGAGCUCAUUUUUUGUUGCAAUUCUGAAUAUUUGGUAUGAAUUAUGUGAUACCGGACAAUACUGUUAACUUGUUCAUUUCUUAAUUUUAAUAUCUUGUCAAAGUCACUAAUAGCAUUUCAUCAUGCUAUGAGUUAAACAUGGAACAAAUGACGACAUGCAGUUGUGGAAUGUGGUAGAUCUCUGGAAUUCUAUGUCCUUAUGCUUGUAGGGCAACACAAUACAUUAGUUAAAACAUUAAAGACUAUGAUGUCCGCAGAAAAUUAUAUGUCAACAUAUGCACCAGGCAUGAUGAAAUUAGCCAAAGACAGUGCUUGGAAACAAUUAACUAACUUUUGGCAUUAGGCGUAUCAAGUUCAAUUCGGUAUUUCACAAAACUUAAACUAACUUAUUCCUAAUUAUAGUGGACACAAUUAACUAACUUUGGCAACUGUUCUGAAGAGGAUGACUUCUUCAGGAUGACAUCAACUACCAGCGAUGAUACUAUCAGUAAGCUGCUUCUGCUAUCUAUUAAAUAUUACUGCUAAACGUAAUAUUGACAAUUUGUCUGUGUGCAGGCCUGUGAUAACCACUUGGAUCGGAUAAAGGACUGGGACAUCAACAAUUUGCCCAGAAACCAAUAAGAUAUCAUUGUAAUGUUUAAUUAUACAUGUAUUAGUUUCUCUUUGGAUGGUGCUCUUUGUUAUGCAAAAGUAUGGCGACUAUGUUUCAACCAGUGUAUCUAUUAUAUACACUAACUAUGAAUUACUAGAAAUUUUAUUACAUUAAUCAUUUUUAGAUAGCCACUCAUCUCAAACGAAACAAACUGGUCAGAGACACUUGACCCAACAUGCUUGUGAUCGACCUUAGAAUAAAUUUUUCUCACUCAAUAUAGACAACUUCUGUGAGGUUAAUAUUUCUUCAAAUGUCAAGAAAAGCAUUGGCCACAUAAAUGCAUACACAUGUUUUUGUUGGGAAGUUAAGCAGACGGGAACAACAUUGGACUAUAUACUCAUACACCAAACUUUAAUAAACUAAUAAAUAUAAUUUAAUAAUAAUUUAUUUCUCCUCGCUUAUGUGAGAAAAAGUCAAACCACAUAACGUAUUUAUAUUUUGUUAAGAAAUUUUACUGAUUGAACUAAUUAACACUAAUUUCUUAUCUCUCUUAACCAACGGAUAUUUUGAAGAUAGUUUUUUAUUUUCUAUAUUUUAUGUACUAAAUGAUUUUAAACCUCUAUCACGUCAUGAAUAAAUUGGAGUUUAGGUUGCUUAAAAUAAUAAUAAUAAUAAUAAUAAUAAUAAUAAUAAUAAUAAUUAAUAAAUGUAUUGAUGGAUUUCAUAAUCAUCCCACUUAGGGGUGGGCACGGUUCGGUUCGGUUCGAAAUUAAGUAGAACCGAUUUAAAUCGGUUAUUUUAUAAAAAGAACCGAAUAAGAACCAAACUCAAUAAGAACCAAACUCAAUAAGAACCGAACUCAAACGGUUCUUUUCGGAUCGGUUCGGUUCGGUUCGGUUUUUUCGGUUCUGGGUCUAUUGGGCCUAUUUUGAAUUUUUAAAUUUUUAGCCCAUUGGGCCUCAUAAAUGUAAUAAUUUUUUUCAACAAUUAAUUUAUCCUAAUUUUAUUACAAAUAUUAACAAUAAAUACAAAGUAUUCAAAACACAUUUUAUCACUAAUAUCUUACUAAUUAUUAAUAAGAUACUCCCAAAAUAUGAAAUAUUAAAAUUUCAAAAUACAUAACCAAACUCCAAUACUCCAUCUAUAUAAACAUAAUCAUAAUGUUAUAAAGAGAAAUAACACAUGUUUGAUUUGAAUAAAAUCAUGUUUGAUUUGAAUAAAAUUAUUAACACAUGUUUGAUUUGAAUAAAAUAAAAAAAUAAUUCGGUUCUUCGGUUCGGUUUUUUGGUUCAGCUAAGUGAACCGAAUACCGAACCGACAUUUCAGUUUUUUUUACAAACGGUAUAUUCGGUUUUUUUAAAAAAUAAAAACCGAACCGAAUUAAAAAAAACCGUCGGUUCGGUUUUUUUUAACAUUACGGUUUUUUUGCCCACCCCUAAUCUCACUCCUACGCCUCAAGACAAACAAGCUCACACUUCACGGAUCAGUCAAAGGAUCGGCUUUCAAGUCGUUGAAUUCACGGUGGUCAAACUAACGGAAAAACUAACGUGACGUCAAUCAGAUACGGUUUAUAAUAUAUGUAUCCUCAAUCAACGCAAAAAGUUUGAUCUGAAAAACCCUCUGCCUAAAACGCGUUUUCAGAAACGCGGUUUUGUUUUUCAAGUGGUUCCCAGAGCAUCCAUGCCAUGCUCUGUAUCAAUCAUUUCGUGCAUGUUUGGAGUUUGGCACGGCCAUUUUUACUGACUUUGUUAAGAAGUACUUAGAAGCUCAUUAGGAAAUGAUAACAAACGAAGCCUUGCGCUUUUACAUGUUACAUGCAUUAUUGGUAAGACGGUUGAUGAGUUACGUUAUAUGAACCCACAAUUAGUCGCCCAAUAGCCACCAUAUAUUAAAUAAUCAGUCAAAUUUUGAAUUGGGUAGUUAACUAAUUUCGAAUUACCGUAAGUCAUAAAUAAUGCAGGUUAGUAAGACCCGAGCCUAGGCAAAUUAAGGUCGUUAUCGCCUCUAAAUCAAGGCUGCAUAACCCAAAGUUAAGGGCACAUGUUCGAGUCCCAACUCCACAGUGUUGGAACUCUAUUAUAGUAUUAUUCCCUUUCACAUUAAAAGGAUAGGAUGGUUAUUUCUCUUACAUAUGUAGAUAGAUCAAAUAUAUCUUCUAAAUAAUAAUAGAUUUAUCAUUUUAAAGAGUUGUUUUAGAUAUGUGGAUAGAUCAAAUAAUAGACACCCUUUCCAUGAAAGGAGACUCAUUGAUUAUUGUUAAAAAAAAAAUUCGUUGAUGUUAUUAGAGAACUUGCAAUUUUUUUAUAACACUAAAUUUUUUAAUUUUUUAAGAUUUUUCUAUGAAUAGCAUGAAUUUUUUAUAGCAUUGGUAAUGAGGAUAUUAUGGACCUUUAGAUUUAAAUAUUUUAAUCUUCGCCAUUCAUUCAAUUUAGUGGAUAAAUAACUAAUUACUUAAUUUUUCAAGUUGCAUGUAGUAUAUAAGUUUAUGUAUGUAAUUCUAUUUUUAAUAAAUAAAUAAAUAAAUUUUAAAUCACUAACAAAAAAAAAUGCAAAUAUGUAUGUUAGUUUAGACGUGUACAUAAUAGAUAUGAAUUGAUAUUAUUUAAUUAUUGCACAAGACAUGCUAAUAAUGAUCUCUUUUGUCAAUAAUAAUCAGGAGAAUAAAAUGUUAAUUUCUUGAUUUUACUGGAUGGCUAAGAUCGAGUUAAGUCAAUUUUCGUUAUAUUUGUUAAUCUAAUAAUAUGUUGGCGAAAAAGAGGGAAUAUGAUUACAAACUAAGAUUGAGUUAAUUUUUUUAAUUCAGUCUUUAAAAAAUUGUACAACUGGUUUGAUAAUUGGUUAAUGAAAUUUUAAAUAACUAAAAUCAAGAUAUUAUUUUAACUAUAACUUCUAAUUUUGUACCAAACGUUGAUGAUCUUGAUGGGCGCAGAGGAUAGUUGGGUACGGUGCUGUAGUGGGCAACUAUGAGGAUAAAGUGAUGGUGACUGGAAUUGACAUAGGGGUAUACUUGGAUGAUGUUGAUUAUAGUGCGGCUGAGGCUUUAUGCUUUAGCUUAGAGUUGCUUAUCAAGAAUCUAUUAAUAACACAUUAUACUCAUACACCAAAGUUUAAUCUGAAUGAAUCAAGUAAUUCUAUGUUAAUAAAAGUUUUUAGACUUACGAUGAGGGUCUAGUUUAUAUAAAUGCAAAUAACACUGAAAUCUAAUAAUCCUUUACAAAUAAAUAUGAUUUAUUCAAUUAUCGCAAACAAUUGUUUUAUCAGAGUUAAUUACAUUAUUGCUAAACUUGUAUAAGCUUUCCUGUUUCAAGCAUAUCUACUUAAUUACAUUAUUCAUCGACAAUGUUACUUUGCUAGUAGAAGUUUUAUGUUUUCAUACCUUAAUCACUAUUUAACGCUUCGUUUUCCAAUAGUUCUAAUUCUUCAAAUUUUGGUUUUAUUCUUCCAUAAUUAUAAAUUGAUACUGAUUCGCACGACUCAAAUUAAAGUGGUUAAUUACUCUAAAAGUAUAAAUUUGGCAGUCAAUAAUUACUUAAAAAUAAUUGCAAAAAAAUUAAUAAGGAAUAGUAUAAAUUUAAAAACCGCUAAAGUUACGAGAUCCAUGCUUGAUAUUUAAAUCAUGGUCAUAAUACUCUUUCUCUCUCUCUCUCUCUCUCACACACACACACACAUAUAUAUAUAACCACUUUCAAUAUUAUGUUACUUAGUUCUUAAUUAACCGCUCUAUAAAUAAAUAUGAGAAUUAAGUACAUAUUAUGCUACAACCUUAUUGGAGUGUUCCCACUACCAUAUUAGUAGUCAACAUUAGGUCUAAACACCCACAUAAUAUUUUUGGUGAACUUGCAACCACAACCUUUAAAUUAGGGGUGGGCACGGUUCGGUUCGGUUCGAAAUUAAGUAGAACCGAUUUAAAUCGGUUAUUUUAUAAAAAGAACCGAAUAAGAACCAAACUCAAUAAGAACCGAACUCAAACGGUUCUUUUCGGAUCGGUUCGGUUCGGUUCGGUUUUUUCGGUUCUGGGUCUAUUGGGCCUAUUUUGAAUUUUUAAAUUUUUAGCCCAUUGGGCCUCAUAAAUGUAAUAAUUUUUUUCAACAAUUAAUUUAUCCUAAUUUUAUUACAAAUAUUAACAAUAAAUACAAAGUAUUCAAAACACAUUUUAUCACUAAUAUCUUACUAAUUAUUAAUAAGAUACUCCCAAAAUAUGAAAUAUUAAAAUUUCAAAAUACAUAACCAAACUCCAAUACUCCAUCUAUAUAAACAUAAUCAUAAUGUUAUAAAGAGAAAUAACACAUGUUUGAUUUGAAUAAAAUCAUGUUUGAUUUGAAUAAAAUUAUUAACACAUGUUUGAUUUGAAUAAAAUAAAAAAAUAAUUCGGUUCUUCGGUUCGGUUUUUUGGUUCAGCUAAGUGAACCGAAUACCGAACCGACAUUUCAGUUUUUUUUACAAACGGUAUAUUCGGUUUUUUUAAAAAAUAAAAACCGAACCGAAUUAAAAAAAACCGUCGGUUCGGUUUUUUUAACAUUACGGUUUUUUUGCCCACCCCUAAUCUCACUCCUACGCCUCAAGACAAACAAGCUCACACUUCACGGAUCAGUCAAAGGAUCGGCUUUCAAGUCGUUGAAUUCACGGUGGUCAAACUAACGGAAAAACUAACGUGACGUCAAUCAGAUACGGUUUAUAAUAUAUGUAUCCUCAAUCAACGCAAAAAGUUUGAUCUGAAAAACCCUCUGCCUAAAACGCGUUUUCAGAAACGCGGUUUUGUUUUUCAAGUGGUUCCCAGAGCAUCCAUGCCAUGCUCUGUAUCAAUCAUUUCGUGCAUGUUUGGAGUUUGGCACGGCCAUUUUUACUGACUUUGUUAAGAAGUACUUAGAAGCUCAUUAGGAAAUGAUAACAAACGAAGCCUUGCGCUUUUACAUGUUACAUGCAUUAUUGGUAAGACGGUUGAUGAGUUACGUUAUAUGAACCCACAAUUAGUCGCCCAAUAGCCACCAUAUAUUAAAUAAUCAGUCAAAUUUUGAAUUGGGUAGUUAACUAAUUUCGAAUUACCGUAAGUCAUAAAUAAUGCAGGUUAGUAAGACCCGAGCCUAGGCAAAUUAAGGUCGUUAUCGCCUCUAAAUCAAGGCUGCAUAACCCAAAGUUAAGGGCACAUGUUCGAGUCCCAACUCCACAGUGUUGGAACUCUAUUAUAGUAUUAUUCCCUUUCACAUUAAAAGGAUAGGAUGGUUAUUUCUCUUACAUAUGUAGAUAGAUCAAAUAUAUCUUCUAAAUAAUAAUAGAUUUAUCAUUUUAAAGAGUUGUUUUAGAUAUGUGGAUAGAUCAAAUAAUAGACACCCUUUCCAUGAAAGGAGACUCAUUGAUUAUUGUUAAAAAAAAAAUUCGUUGAUGUUAUUAGAGAACUUGCAAUUUUUUUAUAACACUAAAUUUUUUAAUUUUUUAAGAUUUUUCUAUGAAUAGCAUGAAUUUUUUAUAGCAUUGGUAAUGAGGAUAUUAUGGACCUUUAGAUUUAAAUAUUUUAAUCUUCGCCAUUCAUUCAAUUUAGUGGAUAAAUAACUAAUUACUUAAUUUUUCAAGUUGCAUGUAGUAUAUAAGUUUAUGUAUGUAAUUCUAUUUUUAAUAAUGACAAUUGAUUGUGUUAGCAUUUUGGUCAAAAAGGUGGACCCCCCCAAAAACAAACAAAAAAAAUUUAUGAUAAUAAUUAACAUUGAUAAAUAAAAAUAUUAAUAAUGGGUGUGUUAGCAUUUUGGUCCAAAGCCGAUUUGGCCUUGACAUUAAUUGGAAUUUUGGAUCUAUAAUAUGAUUUUCACCGAAAAGAUAAUUUUGCCGCUAAUUAUUUGGGUAGUCAGAUAAUAAUAACAAAAAAAUGUUAUCUCGAUCUCACCUAUAACUUGAGGAGAUAAUAAUGAUAGUCUUUCAUAAUACUCUACUGUUUAGUUUCUCUUCUUCAUUUUUUUCCCCUUUGAAGUCUUUCAACAAAAAUGGGUGGCAUCAUCUCAACCUUCUUCUCAGCGGACACAAUUCGUCCAAUUUUAUUUUACGUCGGUGGACGAGCAAAGUAUAUAUGGGGUCUUAAAGGUAAUCUCGAUGACUUGCAAACUGAAACGGAGAACUUGAUUGCGAAAAAACUAGAUCUACUGAAUAAGGUUAGGCUUGCCGAACAACAACAGCCUCGUGCCCAACGGACGAGCACGGUGAAACUCUGGUUCGAAAGGGUGGAUCGAAGUGUAACUCUUGUUGAGGGGCUGCAACAAGAAAGAGAUCAAGAGAUUGACAGAUUGUGUCUUGGAGGCUUCUGUUCCAAGGACUUGAUUUCAAGCUACGACUUCGGCAAAAAGGUGGAGAAGUUGAAGGAAGAAGUAAUCAAAUUGAGGGAAAAAGGAGAAGCAAUGAAAGAAGUUUAUGAGGGGUUACCAGAAGGUGCAGCGGUUGCAAUAGCUGUUGACCGAACAAUUGUUGGUCAAGAAUCAAUACUUGACCAAGUUUGGAGAUGCAUCACUGAUCAAAAAAAGAAUAAUGGAAUUAUUGGCUUAUAUGGUAUGGGGGGCAUCGGCAAAACUACUCUGUUAAAACAAGUCAAUAACAAAUUCUGCAGUGAGGAGCAUGAUUUUGAUGUCGUUAUCUGGUCGGUUGUAUCUAGAGAGCCAAACUUGAAGCAGAUUCAAGAGGAUAUUGGGAAAAGGAUAGGCUUCUCAACAGAUUCAUGGCAGAGAAAAAGGUUUGAAGAAAGGGCUUCAGACAUCACCAACACUUUAAAGCAUAAGAAGUUUGUAUUGUUAUUGGAUGAUAUAUGGGAGUCCGAAAUUGAUUUAACCAAAUUGGGCGUCCCUCUUCAGACACUAGAUUCUGGGUCCAGAAUAGUCUUCACAACUCGUUUUGAGGGUACUUGUGGUAAAAUGGGAGCCCAUAAGAAUCGGUACAAAGUGUUUUGUUUGGGAGAUGACGAUGCCUGGAAAUUAUUUGAGGGGGUGGUCGGGAGAUACGUUCUUAACAAGCAUCCCGACAUUCCGAAGUUAGCCGAGGAUGUGGCACGUCAGUGUCAUGGUUUGCCGCUAGCACUCAAAACAGUAGGUAAUGCCAUGGCGAGCAAAGUGUACCCUGAAGAAUGGAAAGAAGCAAUUGAGAUCCUAAGCGCAUCAGCUUCUAAAUUCGAAGAUAUGGAGAAAAAGGUGCUUUCGAGCUUAAAGUUCAGCUAUGAUAGUUUGCCGAAAGAUGAACUUCGAUCUUGUCUCCUGUACUGUUGCUUAUUUCCCGAAGACUCUGAAAUUCUAAAAACCGAGUUGAUAGAGUAUUGGAAAAGUGAAGGAUUUGUGCAUUCUAGCAGCGGGUGGGGGGUUCUUGGUGCUCUCGUUCGUGCAUGCUUAUUGGAGGAAGCAGGUGAUCGUGUAAAAAUGCACGAUAUGAUCCGUGACAUGGCAUUAUGGAUAGCAAAUGAAGUAGAGGAGGAGGAGGAGAACUUUUUGGUUCGUGCAGGAGUUGGAUUAACUGACGCCCCAAAGAUUGAAGAAUGGGAAGGGGUCAAAAGGAUAUCCUUGAUGCAGAACAAAAUUCAAAGUCUACCACAAAUUCCCUCUUGUCCGCGUCUGCAAACAUUGCUUCUGGCGAGUAAUCGUAUUAAGGAGAUCACUGAGAGUUUCUUUCAAUCUUUGCCUUCACUUAGAGUUUUGAGUCUAAGAAGAAAUCGUUCCCUGACUGAACUUCCUGUGGGGAUUUCAAGUCUGGUUUCAUUACACCAUCUUGAUAUGUCUUCUACUAAAGUACGUGGAUUGCCGCAAGAGCUCAAGGCAUUGGUGAAUCUGAGAUAUUUGAACUUGGAGUAUACACGUGGAAUGUCUAGAAUUCCACAGCAAUUAAUAUCAAGCUUUUCAAAGUUACAGGUACUCAGGAUGCUGCGUUGCGGUCGACGUUACCAGCCAAUAGUGGAAGAAGGCAACGUUCUAUCUGCUGAUGCUGAAUCAUUGAUGAAGGAAAUCCACUGUUUGGAACAAUUAAAUCUCAUCACCUUGUCCUUACAUGGUUCGCGUGGUGUUGAAAACUUUCUGAAAUUCCCAAAGCUGCAGAAUAUCACUCAAGCUCUGUCCAUCGAAGACUGCAACAGUCUACCGCUCAAUUUGUUACAUCUAGCAAACAUGGAGCAUCUUGAGGAGUUAU
rnacentral:lncRNA from 1 species